GGAAGUUCGGUCUUCGGACCGGCUUCC
rnacentral:ncRNA from 2 species